GCGUCAUCGUAGCAGCACCGCCACGUAAAAUAAUCGGCGACUUCCCUGAUUGGACAGUUCACAGGGCCCCGCCCCCCCAUGCCUGAGUGACAGGAGGGCGGAGGUCGCGUCUUUGAGCCAGCCUUGUCCUGGCAGUGCGUGGGAAAUGUUCUCUCCAAGGACACAUCGUCAAACCGUAAGACCACUAAGGCCUGUCACAGAACUGUGACCCUUCACAAACAUGGACACUUCUGUGUCCUCACUAUUCGAAAGAAGGUCACAGGCCAAUAAACCAGAGACAAACAGGCCCAGUUACCGGGAUGGGCUGCCUGACUCCAGCUGUGACUGUUUUGAAAUAAUGCAAGAAGAAGAAAAAUGCAAGACCUUCAUGAUUUGAUCCUUAUCAUACACCCCCGUACUUCGAGCCCCACCUAUAAGAUCUCCUCUGACUCCUCAGGAAGUGAGGGCACAGUUCUUGAGGUGCUAGCCUGCUGUGUUUUCCCCUUUGCCUGGCAAAGAAUUAAAAGCUAUCUUUCUUUUCCUCCAAAAA